GGUCGGGGAGGCUAUACAUGCAAGUCGAGGGGUAUAGGGAGCUUGCUUCCUAGAGACCGGCGCACGGGUGCGUAACGCGUAUGCAACCUACCUUUAUCUGGGGGAUAGCCCGGAGAAAUCCGGAUUAACACCGCAUAAAAUCACAGCAUAGCAUUAUGCAAUGAUCAAAUAUUUAUAGGAUAAAGAUGGGCAUGCGUGUCAUUAGCUAGUUGGCGGGGUAACGGCCCACCAAGGCGACGAUGACUAGGGGAUCUGAGAGGAUGACCCCCCACACUGGUACUGAGACACGGACCAGACUCCUACGGGAGGCAGCAGUAAGGAAUAUUGGUCAAUGGAGGCAACUCUGAACCAGCCAUGCCGCGUGCAGGAAGACUGCCCUAUGGGUUGUAAACUGCUUUUAUCUGGGAAUAAACCUAAAUACGUGUAUUUAGCUGAAUGUACCAGAAGAAUAAGGAUCGGCUAACUCCGUGCCAGCAGCCGCGGUAAUACGGAGGAUCCAAGCGUUAUCCGGAUUUAUUGGGUUUAAAGGGUGCGUAGGCGGCCUGUUAAGUCAGGGGUGAAAGACGGUAGCUCAACUAUCGCAGUGCCCUUGAUACUGAUGGGCUUGAAUGGACUAGAGGUAGGCGGAAUGAGACAAGUAGCGGUGAAAUGCAUAGAUAUGUCUCAGAACACCGAUUGCGAAGGCAGCUUACUAUGGUUUAAUUGACGCUGAGGCACGAAAGCGUGGGGAUCAAACAGGAUUAGAUACCCUGGUAGUCCACGCCCUAAACGAUGAACACUCGCUGUUGGCGAUACACAGUCAGCGGCUAAGCGAAAGCGUUAAGUGUUCCACCUGGGAGUACGCUCGCAAGAGUGAAACUCAAAGGAAUUGACGGGGGCCCGCACAAGCGGAGGAGCAUGUGGUUUAAUUCGAUGAUACGCGAGGAACCUUACCCGGGCUUGAAAGUUAGUGAAUAAUCUAGAGAUAGGUUAGUGAGCAAUCACACGAAACUAGGUGCUGCAUGGCUGUCGUCAGCUCGUGCCGUGAGGUGUUGGGUUAAGUCCCGCAACGAGCGCAACCCCUAUGUUUAGUUGCCAGCACGUUAAGGUGGGGACUCUAAACAGACUGCCUGUGCAAACAGAGAGGAAGGAGGGGACGACGUCAAGUCAUCAUGGCCCUUACGUCCGGGGCUACACACGUGCUACAAUGGAUGGUACAGAGGGCAGCUACAUAGCAAUAUGAUGCGAAUCUCACAAAGCCAUUCACAGUUCGGAUUGGGGUCUGCAACUCGACCCCAUGAAGUUGGAUUCGCUAGUAAUCGCGUAUCAGCAAUGACGCGGUGAAUACGUUCCCGGGCCUUGUACACACCGCCCGUCAAGCCAUGGAAGUUGGGGGUACCUAAAGUAUGUAACCGUAAGGAGCGUCCUAGGGAAAAGCCAAU
rnacentral:rRNA from 1 species